AUGUCUGCUGCAGGAGCCGAGCCGGAGCCGAGCCGAGCAGCAGCCGAGCAGGAGCCGAGCCGAGCAGCAGCCGAGCAGCAGCCGAGCAGGAGCCGAGCCGAGCAGCAGCCGAGCAGCAGCCGAGCCGGAGCCGAGCAGGAGGGAUGCGGUGCAUCUUGGUGGGAUCAGUCUGCUGCUGGAUGUCAGUCAUACUCCUCAGUUCAGUGUGUCAGUGUUCACAUAAGCCGCAGUGAUGAGCAGCAGAAGCCGCAGGACCUGUGCGAAGAGACGCUCAGGUUGUUUGGGACGGUUCUCCAGAGUGACUUUACAGAGGCCUGGAUGGUCCAAAGAUGAGGUAAUGUCCACCCUGUCAGCAGUCAGGGUAAGAGAUGGAUGUUCUUCUUGAGGAGUUGCUGUGUAGUUCAUAUUUCUUCUGUGUGGUUCUGAUGGUGGACAAACUGACGAUCAGUUUUCAGAUAUUUGAUGUCAGACAGUGAGUCAGUCAAUAACCUGUUAAUACCUGUCAGUGUGAACAGUCAUGAAAAUAAUCAUCUGUGUAGACGGAGCCGCUCUCUUUACACUCAUAUGUUCAUGUUAACUGCAAAUAAAAUAACUUUUCACUAGAUUUUUGUUUGUUUGAAAUAUUUCGGCUGAAUGAACUGGAGUCAUUUUUAUGUCUGUUAUAUAUGAGUCAAACCUUUGUGUAAAAGCAUAAUUACGACGAAAGAACACGAGCAUUGAGAACAUUGUUUGUGUACACACAGUUUACUAAAAAGAAGGUUUUUGAACAACUCAUGUUAGCAGAUAUUUCCUACGCUGGCCGCCGUCCUGCCAGUGGAGAAGUGUCGACCUCAGAAUGUGACGUAACCUGGAGGACAGUUAAGGUGGAACGUUCCUAAAGCUUAGUUCCAUAUAAAUACACAGAUAAUUUGUUGUUUUGUCGUUAGUGAAAAACAGUAUUGACUUUGAAGUUGAAAAAGGAGCCUCAUGUAAGAAAGAAAACUAAAAUCAAAAGCUGGAAAAGUCCCGUAGAUCUGGUGUUGAUAGUUGUUGAUGGAAGACAGUAGUUCCACCUUAACUGUCCUCCAGGUUACGUCACAUUCAGAGAUCGACACUUCUCGGCUGCCAUGACAGCGGCUAGCAGAACAAGCUACUACUUAGUUGUUUCAAGUUGUCGUAAUUAUGCUUUUACACAAAGGUUUGACUCAUAUAGGGCUGUAAUCUCCUAGUCGACUGGUUGAUUUAUUGGUCGAUACGUUCUGGCUCGAUUAAAAUUCUGAUUGGUUGAUUUUUGGCGUGUUAAUUACAUGCUGCUGUGGCAGUGCGUAAACACGCAGCGGGUCCUCUCUAUCCCAAUGCUGUGUGUCCUGCAUAUGGCAAAUUUGACUUCAUCAGGAGGAAAGUACCAAGUGCUAACAGUGUGUCUUCAGAACACCCCCCUUGUUUUUAAUAUUUUGGAUUAGCCCAACCUACUACAGUCAAACAGAUUGAAGGUACUAGAAGGCCUCUGUCCGGUGGUGUGUUAAAUAUUUCUUUAUUUUUAAGCAUUUCAUUUACAGUCAUUCCUAUUCUACCAUGUCAAAGACAUCAGCAGUGUGGCAGCAUUUUAUACAAAUAGAAAAUGGAAAAAAAAGUCGAACAGUUAUCACAGCUCGACUACAAACAUGGCAUAUCACCUAAAAAUGGUAAGCUACAGUGUCUGAUAGUGUCUGUCAAUUAUUAUAACAUGUCAAAAACAAUUGUCUAAUUAUUCCUCAACAGUUUUUGUGCUGACAUCGCUAGUUGACAUAGUAUAUUUUGGGAAAUCCUGGGCUAUGAUAUUGCACAGAUGCACAU
ensembl:lncRNA